GUUUCUCAGGCCUCCUGACUUGCCGUUUCGCCAUUAGGCUGUGGGCCUGGUGGAGGAACCUGGUGGCUGGAAAGAUGUGAUGACGGGGCCUCUGGAUGGCUAGGCCGUAAAUGCCCCGUCACGGGAACAAACUCACUUGGCCUGGAAAGGAAAAGAAAAUGCCCCGGCAACACGGUGGGGAAAGUGUCCUCCUUCAGUAAUCUGUUGCCUUGAGACAAAAGGUAGCACUGGACUGCAAGGAAGUGCACCAGAAAAUGGAUGCCAUUACAGCUAACAGUGUCUCCAGAAUGACAAUUAAACUUUGCCCGACUGCAAAGUUUUGCAGAAACUUCUCAUGGAAUGACAGUGAAAAAGCUAGUGUUCAAUAUUGCCUCAUGAAGGUAGGGUCACAGUAACUUGAAAUCUCUGUUUAGAGCUUGAACCCUAGACAGGGGUUGUGUGCUGUAUCAGGGAGAAUACAAUAAACAACUUCAUAAACUCCAGGCUUGGCCUUGAGAGAAAAAGUAGCAUUGGACUGCAAGGAAGUGCAUCAGAAAAAUGGAUGGUGAGGAAAUUGCAAAUUGCAAACCUGUUAAACUGAUAAAUAUGUACACGUCUCCCCCAGUUACAGUAUAAGCUCCUGACGGGCAGGGUUGGUUUCUUUUUUGAAUUUGUAAUCUCAUCACUUAUCUCAUUGCCUG